rnacentral:rRNA from 1 species
UCUGAUUUCUGAUGGCUUUGAUUUUCUUAUGGGAACGAAGAAAUUGGGUUCCAUCUGGAGUUGUUAAUAUGUGGUUAUGGCCAUCUACAAAAUUGUCCACAAACCAGAUUCCAUGCUAGUUAUUAAGUCCAAUGCUCAGUUCAGCCCCACAAUACUCUCGAGUCUCAGCUCUUUCCCUUCAUUUUCAGUCCUUGAUGUCCCUCGUGGCUGGAUCACGAAUCCCUUCCUUUGAGCAAACAAAUCUCCUAUAGAAAAUCUCUCCUAUUUUUUUUCUCACACCUCACGAUAUCCUUCCUAACACUGAACCCUUUAUUUUUAGGUAUGCACUAUAGAAGUUAUAGGAGUCUUCUUCACUUUCAAAGGUCAUCUGUACAAUUUUCCAAUACUCAUCUAGAGCCUCAUUUUCUGCCCCCAAAUUACUAAACAUGCCACGAAUGGCUUCAAAAUCAUGAGAUCCUGCUACAUUGCCAUUUUCCUACCAUAAUAUAAAGAUAUUUGGAUGCAAAUUAGGAAAUGGUGGAGUGUUGAGUGAAUUUGUUGAGCCGCUGGUUAACUCAUUAGACGGCUGGCUCAAUCGUUCCAAUAAGAACACCAUACUUCAUUGAUACUUAAGAUAAUUUAGAAAAGAAUGUCCUCAUAUCAUAUAUAGAUGCGCAUAAUAUGGGAUGUAUUUUAUCAUAAUAAAUCAUAUAGCCAGCUCAGCCUAGUUGUUCAUGGGCCAGUAAUGGAGGCGCUUCUAUGUGUGUUUGAGCCUACGGUUUCUCUCCUAUCAAAUACUCCUGCCAGUCCAAAAUAUAAGGUGCAUUAGCUUUUGAAAAGUCAAACUUCUCCAUGUUUGAUUGAGUUUAUGUAGAGAAAUGUCAAUAUACAAGAUACCACAUCAGUACCAUUAGAUACAUCAUGGAAUAUAUUUUCAUAAUUUGUUUAUUUUAUGUUGUAAAUGUUAACUUUUCUACAAACUUGGUCAAACAUUGAAAUGUUUGACUUUUGAAAAAAAAUAGACCUUGUAUUUUGAGGAGUGAUUACAACUAAAUAAUGUAGCAUUUUCCGGAUUUUAUGUCCAAAUGGUAUAUUAAUCAGGGUCCAUAUUAAUCAAGAUGAGCAGUUCUACCCUAUCAGAUACAACUCAGAAAUUCUUUGAAAAACAAAAAGGCAACUCAGUAAGCUUUUUCACCGAAAUAAUAUGAGUUUUCCAAACAGCUGCUUUUGCACCCAGUGGGAAUUUUCUCCUUACCAAGUUUGUACUAUAUUUGUAAUCAAAUCUUCAUUUGUAAUGGAUUAUGUAUCUUCAUUUUAAUGUUUUGGUUUAGAAGGUAGUUAUGAUCCAGCAAUUAUACUUUUCUUUCAAUCUAGUUUUAUAUUUUGUCACUUUUUUCUCUCUUUCUCUUCAACCAUGGGGCCAAAAAUUAUGUUUGCCCAAUCAGAGAAUAGAAGAGUACGUAUUACACUAGUCCACUAAUUACGUGGGCUACCAAAAUUAGCUUCAGGAAUGUCGUCAUUAUGUGGCCACAGCCAGCCAUAGACAUAGGUCAGUCGCAGAGCAGAGCAGGAGAUGUUGUCAUCUUGGCAACACCGUGAUCACCAUGUGCAAGCAUCCUUGUGUAAGUCUUUAUCACCGCCUCCAGAGGCAAACGAUUAAUCAACGCGUACGCAUGGAGACGGAGACGGGCAUCUGCGACCUCCCGGCGGACUGCCUGGCCCUCGUCGCCUCCCUGACCUCCCCCGGCGACGUGUGCAGGCUGGCGGCCACCGCCCAUGCUCUCCGGGCGGCUGCCGACUUCGACGCGGUCUGGGGGAGCUUCCUCCCGGCGGACUGCACCGACAUCCUCGUGCGGUGUAGUACUGCCGGUGAUGAGCGCCACCGGGAAGGCGAAACAAAGAAGGAGCUCUUCUCCCGACUCUGCGACUGCCCCGUCCUCCUCGAUGGCGGCAAGCUGAGCUUCUCCUUGGACAGGCGUAGCGGGGCCAGGAAGUACAUGAUACCAGCGAAAGCUCUGUGGUACGGGUGGAGUGGCUACCACUACGGAGGACUCGUCUGGUCGCGCUGCCACCCACACUCCAGGUGAAACUCCAUGAGCACCGUGUGUCGAAGCCGGGGCUCAAACUCGGGUGGGUUGGCAGCUACCCCAGCUGCCCAGCCAACGGGUCGACGCCCCGUCCUCCGGACUCUCAACCGAGGUAACUGUGUGACCUAACCACUACAACAAGAAGCACUUCCUGUACACAAAGGGUUAAACUCAAUACAUUUUGACAUUAAAAAAAUUUGAAUUCAAAAUCCAUUUGAAAAAAUUGGGCGAAGAAAAUCCAAAUUCCUGAGAUUUAUGAAUGCGAAGAAGGCCGUUGUGCAGGCUACUAUAGGAGCUCUCCAAGGGAGAUAAGGAGGACAGUAGUGUGGGACAGACAGAAAUAAGUGGAGGCAUGAGACAGGUCUUGUUACAGCGCUCGCGCAUUUGUGCUAAUUUAGAUAUAGAAGAUUUGGAUCGAUAUCAGUUUUCUCAAAUAGAAAAUAUAUAGAAGGGUUGUUACCACACUAGGCCACCAAUCACGAGUGCUAACCAAAUUGUCUCGAAGGAUGUCGUCAUUAUGUGAAGAGAUGUUGUCAUGUUUUUAAUUCCUGUUUUAGGGAAGAUAUGUCGUCAUGUUGGCAACACCAUGAUCACCAUGUGUUGUUACCAGCAAAGCGUACAACUACGCAUCGCUUUAUCAUCGCUCCAGGCCCAGGAUCGACCAAAGCAAAUUAAUCAACGAGUACGCAUGGCGGUGGAGACGGGAAUCUGCGACCUCCCAGCCGACUGCCUGGCCCGCGUAGCCUCCCUGACAUCCCCCGGCGACACGUGUAGGCUGGCGGCCACCGCCGCCGUGCUCCGGGAAGCCGCCGACUCUGAUGAGGUCUGGGGCAGCUUCGUCCCGGCAGACUGCGCCGACAUCCUAGCACGGUGGAGCACCAGCGAUGAGCGCCGCCGGGAGGGAGAAACGAACAAGGGGUUCUUCUCCCAACUCUGCGACUCCCAAGUUCUUCUCGAUGGUGGCAAGCUGGCUUGUCAGGCGUAGGAAGUUAUUUUACCCAAGACAAGUAUAUAGAAUUCUGUAUGGACUAGCGGCUACAUGGACAAAUUCUCAUGUGCUGGGCUAAACCGUGGUUGUUAAGAUGAAGGAAUUUUAGCAUGGGCAAUGAAGUCACCUAAACAAAAGCAAGCACAGAUGGUGGGUCAUUAGUCCUUAUUAUAUAGUGUGAUAGCGACCUUGCCGGAAUAUUUUAUUCAUAUAUCCAAGAGUCUUUGUACGUGAAUAUGGCCUAGAUACGUACUACAUGUAGCAUGCAUAUUUUGUACGCAUGUAUUACUUGGUAACCGAAUCGAGUCCUGUUCGGUUUUAGUUUUGGAGUUGUAUUCCUGUACGGCAAGGCAUGCUACGUAACCAGGUCUUGCCUUGUAUACGCAAAGUCCAGCGUACCUUAUUUAUAAGGCCACGGCCGAUUGGAAAAAGCCCCAACAAACGAUCUAUCAAUACAAACUACUUUUUCAUGUAUGUCUAUUUUCUGUUGCUACUUCCUGCCGAGCCCUAGCAGCCCUAGGGUUUGGCGAUCUUUGCCGUUUUGCGCUGGAAAGCGGCCGGUUCUUCUUCACGAAAGCGAGGAAAUCUUUGUUGCUUUGCUCGUAAAGCAAUCGUUCGUCGUCACGAAAGCACGACGGUUAUCCUGGUGUUGCGCGUCGAUUUCGCGUGCCAACAAUAUGCUGCUGCAUUACUAGUAUACCAUGUACAUGUGUGUAUCAGGAGAUCACGUCUGACAUUGGCAUCUAUCGACGGGGCAAGAAGAGCUUCUCGCUGGACAGGCAUAGCGGCGCGAAAAAGUACAUGAUACCGGCGAAAGCUUUGUGCUACGGGUGGAGUGGCUACCCCUACGGAGGCCUCGUCUGGUCACACUGCCACCCUCACUCCAGAUUCAGCGAGGUGGCCGUUCUUUCUUACAUAUGCUGGCUGGACGUGAACGGCAUCUUAAACACGAAGAGCCUCUCGGGCAUUGGUAGAGGCUACAUGGUCUAUCUCAUAUACAGGGUGCAUCAGCUGCACACAGACACAGCUCAGAACCAAGGCCAAGAAGCUGAAGUGUUGUCCUCUUCUGCCAGCAGCAAUCAUGAGUGCAACCAUCUCGUCCCUCAGAAGCACUCGCGAUCUCUUUUAUGGGACUGGGGCUGGGAACUCGAUGGAUCAUCAUCGUUGGCAUCAGUAGACACGGAAGAGAAGAAUCGAAGUCUGAAGCAGUGGCUAAAAUCUGAUGGUGUGAGCGUGAGAAGCGAUGGACGAUGGAUAGAGCAAGAGAUCAACAUAGAAUUGGACAAACCGUGUCUGGACGGGGAGGAGAGAAUGUUUCCAUUGAGUUUAGAGGGUUCACAGGGUCGCAUAGUUGUCAGAUUAUCAUAGAAGGGAUCGAGAUACGGCCAAGAGCAAUGGAAAGUUAAAAGCAUGGCCAAAUUUCUUAGAUAGAUGAAUUCAACAAUA